UGCACCCUGAGGAAGCUUCCUUCUUUGUAGGUCUACUUUACAAAUGCUCGCUAGGCAAAAAUUCACUUAUCCGAACACAAGGAAUGGGUAUCCAAACCUUGCUAUAAGCAGGUGCAUGCCUGGUUAAUAUAGCUGGUGCCCGCCACAUCCAUGACCUUUUUGUGCCUCCGUCAAGCCACCUGGAAAAACUGGCGGCUAAGCUCACCAAAGGGCCUGCAAUGAGUAAGAAAGUGCUCACCAGAAAAAGCCGAUGUCUGCUGCGUUAAAAGAUUUGUUUGUCACAGCACUGAAUGGAAGAUGGCAGGAUCCCCAAGCUCAGUGGAGAGUUGGCUUCAAGCACUAGGCCUGAAGGCAGACCAAUUCUGCAUUACAAAAUUGUCUGCAAACAUGACAUGAAGGCUGGCAACAUUAACCCCGCUGUGUGGAAAUCCCUUGCAGACGACCACAAUGCCUGGAGACAGGUCAUAUAUCCACAACAGUGAUCAGAGGAGGAAUGACUACUGGGAGAAGUGCAGAAAGAAGAAAUAUCAUGUGCAGCAAAACCUGACACAUUCAUCUCCCUUCUUGGUCUCUACAGCCACAGCUGACGCUGUAACCCUCCAAUGGUUUGACUUUACCCUCAAAGGUGUACUCUUCCAUUGUCUUGCGAGAGGGACGGAUGCCACCAUAAACUUGUUAUUUAUUGUUUAGAUGUAUAUUUUGUUUAUCUUGAUCAUAAUUUUGAUAUUAUCCAUCACUCUGAGUUUCCUUUCAAAGGUUACAAA